rnacentral:tRNA from 1 species
AAGUUAUUUAGCUUACUAUAAAAGCAAGUAAUUUGAAAUUACUAGAAAGAUUAAUAAUUUAAUAACUUA